rnacentral:rRNA from 1 species
UACGGAGGGGGCGAGCGUUAUUCGGAAUUAUUGGGCGUAAAGGGCGCGUAGGCGGCUGUACAAGUCAAAGGUGAAAUCCCUCGGCUCAACUGAGGAACUGCCUUUGAAACUGGCGGACUUGAGUGCCGGAGAGGGUCGCGGAAUUCUCGGUGUAGAGGUGAAAUUCGUAGAUGUCGAGAGGAACACCGGUGGCGAAGGCGGCGAUCUGGACGAUGACUGACGCUGAGGUGCGAAAGCGUGGGGAGCAAACAGG